GAUGAAGAACGCAGCGAAAUGCGAUAAGUAAUGUGAAUUGCAGAAUUCAGUGAAUCAUCGAAUCUUUGAACGCACAUUGCGCCCCUUGGUAUUCCGGGGGGCAUGCCUGUUCGAGCGUCAUUAUAACCCCUCAAGCUCAGCUUGGUGUUGGGGCCUGCCAACUGGCAGCCCUUGAAAUCAGUGGCGGCGCCAUCUGGCUCUAAGCGAAGUAAUUUCUCUCGCUAUAGGGUCCCGGUGGAUGCUUGCCAACAACCCCCAAUUUUCUAUGGUUGACCUCGGAUCAGGUAGGGAUAUCCGCUGAACUUAAGCAUAUCAAUAAGCGGAGGA
rnacentral:misc_RNA from 1 species